UACGAAGGGGGCUAGCGUUGUUCGGAAUUACUGGGCGUAAAGCGCACGUAGGCGGAUCGAUCAGUCAGGGGUGAAAUCCCAGGGCUCAACCCUGGAACUGCCUUUGAUACUGUCGAUCUGGAGUAUGGAAGAGGUGAGUGGAAUUCCGAGUGUAGAGGUGAAAUUCGUAGAUAUUCGGAGGAACACCAGUGGCGAAGGCGGCUCACUGGUCCAUUACUGACGCUGAGGUGCGAAAGCGGGAGGAGCAAACAGG
rnacentral:rRNA from 1 species